UACAGAGGUCCCAAGCGUUGUUCGGAUUCACUGGGCGUAAAGGGUGCGUAGGUGGUGAGGCAAGUUCGGUGUGAAAUCUCCGGGCUUAACCCGGAAAUGGCAUUGAAAACUGCCUUGCUAGAGGGUUGGAAGGGAGACUGGAAUUCUUGGUGUAGCAGUGAAAUGCGUAGAUAUCAAGAGGAGCACCAGUGGCGAAGGCGAGUCUCUGGACAACACCUGACACUGAGGCACGAAAGCGUGGGGAGCAAACAGG
rnacentral:rRNA from 1 species